rnacentral:rRNA from 1 species
UCUACGGGAGGCAGCAGUGAGGAAUAUUGGACAAUGGGCGCAAGCCUGAUCCAGCCAUGCCGCGUGCAGGAAGACGGUCCUAUGGAUUGUAAACUGCUUUUAUACAGGAAGAAACACCUCUACGUGUAGAGACUUGACGGUACUGUAUGAAUAAGCAUCGGCUAACUCCGUGCCAGCAGCCGCGGUAAUACGGAGGAUGCAAGCGUUAUCCGGAAUCAUUGGGUUUAAAGGGUCCGUAGGCGGUUUAAUAAGUCAGUGGUGAAAGCCCAUCGCUCAACGAUGGAACGGCCAUUGAUACUGUUAAACUUGAAUUAUUAGGAAGUAACUAGAAUAUGUAGUGUAGCGGUGAAAUGCUUAGAGAUUACAUGGAAUACCAAUUGCGAAGGCAGGUUACUACUAAUAUAUUGACGCUGAUGGACGAAAGCGUGGGGAGCGAACAGGAUUAGAUACCCUGGUAGUCCACGCCGUAAACGAUGGAUACUAGCUGUUCGGAGCAAUCUGAGUGGCUAAGCGAAAGUGAUAAGUAUCCCACCUGGGGAGUACGUUCGCAAGAAUGAAACUCAAAGGAAUUGACGGCUGAGACGAGCGACGGACGACGACGAGGGAGGAGG